rnacentral:rRNA from 1 species
GACUGAUCCAGCCAUGCCGCGUGCAGGAUGAAUGCCCUAUGGGUUGUAAACUGCUUUUAUACGGGAAGAACACCACCCACGUGUGGGUGACUGACGGUACCGUAAGAAUAAGGACCGGCUAACUCCGUGCCAGCAGCCGCGGUAAUACGGAGGGUCCAAGCGUUAUCCGGAAUCAUUGGGUUUAAAGGGUCCGUAGGCGGGCUAUUAAGUCAGAGGUGAAAGUUUGCAGCUCAACUGUAAAAUUGCCUUUGAUACUGGUAGUCUUGAGUUAUAGUGAAGUGGUUAGAAUAUGUGGUGUAGCGGUGAAAUGCAUAGAUAUCACAUAGAAUACCAAUUGCGAAGGCAGAUCACUAACUAUAUACUGACGCUGAUGGACGAAAGCGUGGGGAGCGAACGGGAUUAGAUACCCCGGUAGUCCACGCCGUAAACGAUGGAUACUAGCUGUUGGAUUUUUUCAGUGGCUAAGCGAAAGUGAUAAGUAUCCCACCUGGGGAGUACGUUCGCAAGAAUGAA